rnacentral:rRNA from 1 species
CACGCCCUAAACGAUGUCAACUAGGUGUUGGGUGGGUAAAACCAUUUAGUACCGUAGCUAACGCGUGAAGUUGACCGCCUGGGGAGUACGGCCGCAAGGUUAAAACUCAAAGGAAUUGACGGGGACCCGCACAAGCGGUGGAUGAUGUGGAUUAAUUCGAUGCAACGCGAAAAACCUUACCUACCCUUGACAUGUUCAGAAUCCCGGAGAGAUUUGGGAGUGCCCGAAAGGGAGCUGGAACACAGGUGC